UUAACGGCUUCCCUGCGGCACUGCAUUGGCCAUAAGCCAAUGCAUCACCGAGUUUGCAUCGUUUACAGCUGGGACUACCCGGGUAUCUAAUCCGGUUUGCUCCCCCAGCUUUCAUCCCUCACCGUCGAACGUGUUCUGGCAGACCGCCUUCGCCACUGGUGGUCCUCGGAGGAUCAGAGGAUUUUACCCCUACCCCCCGAAUACCGUCUGCCUCUCCCACUCCCUAGCUCUGUAGUAUCUCCAGCGGCCCAUCUGUUAAGCAGGUGGAUUUAACCGGAGACUUGCAUAGCCGGCUACGGAUGCUU
rnacentral:rRNA from 1 species